rnacentral:rRNA from 1 species
UGUUUCGGCUAGGGGGUCAUCCCGACUUACCAACCCGAUGCAAACUACGAAUACCGAAGAAUGUUAUCACGGGAGACACACGGCGGGUGCUAACGUCCGUCGUGAAGAGGGAAACAACCCAGACCGCCAGCUAAGGUCCCAAAGUCACAGUUAAGUGGGAAACGAUGUGGGAAGGCACAGACAGCCAGGAUGUUGGCUUAGAAGCAGCCAUCAUUUAAAGAAAGCGUAAUAGCUCACUGGUCGAGUCGGCCUGCGCGGAAGAUGUAACGGGGCUAAACUGUGCA